UGGGGAAUAUUGGACAAUGGGCGAAAGCCUGAUCCAGCCAUGCCGCGUGUGUGAAGAAGGCCUUUUGGUUGUAAAGCACUUUAAGUGGGGAGGAAAAGCUUAUGGUUAAUACCCAUAAGCCCUGACGUUACCCACAGAAUAAGCACCGGCUAACUCUGUGCCAGCAGCCGCGGUAAUACAGAGGGUGCAAGCGUUAAUCGGAAUUACUGGGCGUAAAGCGCACGUAGGUGGUUAUUUAAGUCAGAUGUGAAAGCCCCGGGCUUAACCUGGGAACUGCAUCUGAUACUGGAUAACUAGAGUAGGUGAGAGGGGAGUAGAAUUCCAGGUGUAGCGGUGAAAUGCGUAGAGAUCUGGAGGAAUACCGAUGGCGAAGGCAGCUCCCUGGCAUCAUACUGACACUGAGGUGCGAAAGCGUGGGUAGCAAACAGGAUUAGAUACCCUGGUAGUCCACGCCGUAAACGAUGUCUACCAGUCGUUGGGUCUUUUAAAGACUUAGUGACGCAGUUAACGCAAUAAGUAGACCGCCUGGGGAGUACGGCCGCAAGGUU
rnacentral:rRNA from 1 species